AUUGAACGCUGGCGGCAUGCUUUACACAUGCAAGUCGAGCGGCAGCGCGGGGCUUUGGGCAACUGAAGUUUUGGGCGGCGAGCGGCGAACGGGUGAGUAACACAUCGGAACGUACCGACAAGUGGGGGAUAGCUCGGCGAAAGCCGGAUUAAUACCGCAUAUGCUGUGCGCAGGAAAGCUGGGGCUCUGUGAGGACCUGGUGCUUGUUGAGCGGCCGAUGUCUGAUUAGCUAGUUGGUGGGGUAAAGGCCUACCAAGGCGACGAUCGGUAGCUGGUCUGAGAGGAUGAUCAGCCACACUGGGACUGAGACACGGCCCAGACUCCUACGGGAGGCAGCAGUGGGGAAUUUUGGACAAUGGGGCAACCCUGAUCCAGCCCAUGCCGCGUGAGUGAAGAAGGCCUU
rnacentral:rRNA from 1 species